UACGUAGGGGGCGAGCGUUGUCCGAAGUUACUGGGCGUAAAGCGCGCGUAGGCGGUCGAUUAAGUCUGGGGUGAAAGGUUCAGCGCUCAACGCGAACAGUGCCUUGGAUACUGGUUGACUUGAGUUGGGGAGGGGGAAGUGGAAUUCCGGGUGUAGCGGUGAAAUGCGUAGAUAUCCGGAGGAACACCGAUGGCGAAGGCAGCUUCCUGGCCCACAACUGACGCUGAGGUGCGAAAGCCAGGGGAGCAAACGGG
rnacentral:rRNA from 1 species